UACUGCUGUUUCUGUGUAUGUGUGCAUGUGUAUACACACACACACACACACACACACACACACACACACACACACACACACAU
rnacentral:miRNA from 1 species